rnacentral:tRNA from 1 species
UAUUUUAUUAGUAUACAGGUACAUCUAACUUCCAAUUAGAAAGAUAAUUUUAAUAAAAUAA